UACGUAGGGGGCAAGCGUUGUCCGGAAUCAUUGGGCGUAAAGAGCGUGUAGGCGGCUUAGUAAGUCUGCUGUGAAAUCCCAGGGCUCAACCCUGGAAAGCCAGUGGAUACUGCUGGGCUAGAGUGCGGAAGAGGCGAGUGGAAUUCCUGGUGUAGCGGUGAAAUGCGCAGAUAUCAGGAGGAACACCAAUGGCGAAGGCAGCUCGCUGGUACGUUACUGACGCUGAGACGCGAAAGCGUGGGGAGCAAACAGG
rnacentral:rRNA from 1 species